UUCUGAUUUCUGACUUUUUUUCUUCUUUUAAGAUUCUCCUCCUUCUUGUUCCUCUCCUGAAUUCCGGUUCUGAUUUUCUACUUUUUCUUCUUCUGAAUUCUUGUUCUGAUUCCGAUUCUUCUUGUUCUGAAUUUUUUUUUCUGAUGCCAAUUCCUCUUCUUCUGAUUGUAUAGUUUUCUCCAUUUCCCAAAAAAGUUCAAAAAUUCAUUUAUUGAGAACGAGGCGAUUGGGCAUUUUCUAUCAGAAUUAUACAGACUUGUUCUCGGUUUUUCUCUAAUUUUUUACAGAUUCUUUUGAGCGAGAAAACAUAAUUACUUUGGACCAAGAGCAAAGAUGUUUGGAGAUUGAGAUUCUCCGAUUGGUUUAAUGGUUUGUGACUCAGAUCUAUGGAUAAUCCCAUCCGUGUUUUCUUAGAUUAUAUUUGCUGGUACUAAUAAUCUCUUUUUCUUUGAUUGAUGAGACAGUAAAGAUGCCUGUGGAAGAUUAGAUUCUUGGGUGUUCUUAUAUCACUUGAAAAGGGUCAAAGAUUAUAUAAAUCUCAUGCAAAUAAUGGUAAAACAAGCUUUUUCAAAUAGUUAUCAAUGGUAAAGAAUCUGUUUGGCACCUGAGAUUGAAAAUUAAUGGCACUGAGAUUAUUAGUCAUUUGGGGAUUCCUAUGCCGCUAAGCCAAUUUGGAAUGAGGGUGACACCCAAGUUAAUUCAAGCAAAGGAAAGGGAGCAAUAAAGGAUUAGAAGAAUUAUAAUUAGUCUUGACGAAACAUUUGCAUCUGUCCCACUAGCAUUGUGUCAGGUAGGUCAGCAGGAAGUCGCCCUCAGUUUUUCUUGAACGUGACAUGUCUAGUGGAUUUUGUUAUCAUGUAUAAAACUAGUGCAUUUUAUGUGUAUAUAAGAAAAGAGUACUAUUUGAUGUUGUGAGCUUUUUGGUGUGUGAUUUGUAUAACUCAUAUAAAUAGUUUUUAUUAUACAUAUUAAUUUUGAGUUAAAAGUUAGCAGUUAAUGAACAUUUUAUGUAUCAGUCAUUUUGCAUACAAUGUAUACCUGACAUCCUUUACAGAUGUUACAUUUAGUGGUAUCAGAGCACGGUUUAAAAUUUAUCGGGAUAGAAUUGUAAAAGCAUUUAAAGGCAUGAAUGCAUAUACAUGUUAGGGAUGCAUAUGAAUGCAAGAAUUAAAAAUAAGUGUUUGUAUUUUUAAUAGGAUGAGUAGAGAGGGACAAUCGAGAAUCCUGCUGACCUAAGUGAGUCUGAGUCUGUGUAUGGAGUUGAGCAUAUAAAUGCACCACUUGGUGCUCAGGAAUUGCCACUAGUAAUGCAGCAAUUUCUUGAGUCUUUGCAGCAAAUAGUGAAUCGGGUAGCCACUCAGCUAGUCCAAUAACCAAUAAUGCAACAAAUGGCAAAAGUUAGAGAAAUAGAGGCUAAAGAUAAAACUUACGAUAGGCUGAGAAAACAAGGAGCUACAGAAUUUGAGGGGAUCACUGAUUCUGAGAUAGCAGAAGAAUGGUUACGGGAGACAAACAAGGUGUUGGAUAGGCUGGAUUGCACACCAGAGCAAAAGUUGAAAUAUGUUGUAUCUUUGUUGAGAAGAUUGGCUUUAGAUUGGUGGGAUCUGAUUUUAGGAAGUAAACAUAGACCUAUGACCUUAACUUGGGAUGACUUCCUUAGGGAAUUUGCAAAUAAGUACACACCACCAAUGUAUAGAGAUCGGAAGAAAAUGGGGUUUUUGAGCUUGGAAUAGGGAUACAUGACAAUAUCAGAAUAUGAAAUGCAAUUCUCUCGAUUAUCAAAAUAUGCAUUAGAAGAAGUGGCUAUAGAGGAUGCAAAACAAAGACGGUUUGAAAAAGGCUUGAGAAUGGAUAUUCAGAAAAAGAUUUCCUUGAAGCCACCAAGUUACAGUACUUUAUUAGAGGCUGCAUUGAGGGUAGAAGAAUGUUUGAUUGAGAAAGAUGCAAUGAUAGCUAAGAAAAGAAAGAUGAUAAAUGAAUAUGAUGGUUCAGAAAGGAAAGGAAGAGACAUUUCUUUUAGAGGUUCCGGGUAUCAAGGGAGUAGAUAUUAUAGGAGAGGGGUUAGCCAACAAAGUAUGAGUAAGUCUG